GGUGCGUCCCUGGGGCUGGUAAAAAGGAACCAGAUCAACUACAACUGGAUUUGGUCCCCUUCAACCAGCUGCAGUGGGGCAUGUGC
rnacentral:pre_miRNA from 1 species